rnacentral:lncRNA from 1 species
GCAGAGUCGUUAUCGUGAUCCUCUGUGCGAGUCAUCAGGUGCCCGUGAACUUGUUGCUUGAUUUUGGGGCUCCUGAGGGGGACGUUUUUAAAGGGCCCACUUACCCUGUCAUCUCUGCUUCCAGACUUGAUUCCAUUGGAUGCUCAGUUCUCAGCCCAUGUAGAUCAUAUGUGAGGCCUCCAGACUCUGAUGCCUGAACCUCGCCCGGUUCCAUCCUCAUCUCUUGUUCUCAGGAGACCUCGUCCGAAGAUGGACAAACACUGGCUGCUCUCUGAGUCCGUCUGGCCCCUCAGAGCCUGCAUGCAGCUGCCUCAAGCCCUGUCUGUGUGUUGACACCCCUCAGACCCACCUUCACUCUUGUCUGUAAUGUGGAGGUGGAUUCCAUCUUAUGUCACUGUUACUUGGAAAAACUAAGGACAGUGGACAGAGAGAGAGCCUAUCUUUGAUUCUUUGAUUCCCAUUCCUAAAGGGGAGCUUUUUUUUUUUUUUUUGGUUUUUUUAGGGCCACACUCUUGGCACCCGGAAGUUCCCAGGCUAGGGGUCGAAUCAGAGCUGUAGCCGUCAGCCUACGCCACAGCCACGGCAAUGCUGGAUCCGAGUGGCAUCUGCAACCUACACCACAACUCACGGCAACACUGGAUCCUUAAGCCACGGAGCAAGGCCAGGGAUCGAACCCGCAACCUCAUGGUUCCUAGUCAGAUUCAUUAACCACUGCGCCACCACGGGAAUGCCAUCAACUUACAACAUGUAAAUCUUUCAUUCUUUCCCUUACUCAUAAAAGAAGUCCUGGAGUUAAAACGGGAGUUAAAACGGGACCGUUGUAUGCGACUUGCUAAAUCAACUCUUCUUUUUCUUAAAGGUCAGUGUCUCAGUUGCCUCCGUGCAGUUUUGUUCUCACACAUGCGCACCGUCACAAGCUGAGCCCCGUGCUCCCUUGUGGGCACCCACCUGUCCCUCCUCAGGCUCUUUCUCGGGCCCCAUCUUCCUCCCUUGAUGUGGGUGGACACACUGUUAUUUCCUGGCAUAUUUCGUUUAUUGUCCUGAACUUCCCCGUCUCCACAGCACUUUUCCACUCAGCCCUCCUCCGCCUUCCACCUCGAUACUUACACUGUCAACAUAACACCCCUUUCUCUAUGGACAGAUGUUCUUAGGCCAUCACAGCCCUGACGACUCCGAAACCACUUCCAGGAGCUCCCGUGAUGGCUCCGCGGAAGUGAGUCUGACGGGUUUGGCCUUGCCGUGAGCUGUGGUGUAGGUUGUAGACACGACUCGGAUCCCGCGUUGUUGUGGCUGUGGUGGAGGCCGGUGGUCACAGCUCCAAUUUGACCCCAUACGCUGUGGGUGCGGCCCUAAAAAGUUAAAAAGAAGAAGAAGAAGAAAAGAAACCGUUUCAGGAAGGGAUGGUGACAACCUUGGGAGUUACACAGCUCCUUUCUUCUCGAAUCUCCCUGGACAUUUGCCUUUAAACUCCUGCUUUUGUUGGAGUAUUUUGUAGUCUGUUCUCCUCGGGAGGCCUUCAUGUUCAAGAAGCCAAAAGCACGUCGUCUCAGCCUGUCAGGCGAGGUUCACACGCUGGUUCUCAAGACUUUCUGUGUCAGUUGGGAUCAUGUACAGAAACCUGUGAUUUCACCCCCCUGACUUGAAAAUUUGUGAUAGUUUCCCCCAUGCCUUUUUAUUUAAAAAAAAAAUUUUUUUUUGGCUGUGCCUGCAACAUAUAAAAAUGGCCAUGCCAGGGAUCAAACUCGUGCUGCAACAGUGACCCAAACCACAGCCUUGGCAAUGGUAGGUCCUUAACCAUAGGCUACCAGACAACUCCUCGAGCCUUAUCUUUUUUUUCUUUCUUUUUUUUUUUUUUUAAAUGCUUUUUAAGGGCUACAUUCACAGUAUAUGAAGGUUCCCAGGCUAGGGGUCAAAUCAGAGCUACAGCUGCCGGCUUAGCCACAGCCACAGCCUCACCAGAUCUGAGCCACGUCUGCAACCUACACCACAGUUCACAAUAAUGCCAGAUCCUUAACCCACUGAGCGAGGCCAGGGAUCGAACCUGCAACCUCGUGGUUCCUAGUCGGAUUCAUUUCCACUGUGCCACGAUGGGAGCUCCUUCUUUUCUUUCUUUCUUNUUUUUUUUUUUUUUUUUUUUUUUUUUUUUUUUUUUUUUUUUUUUUUUUUUUUUUUUUGCUUUUUCUUGAGACUUUCAAAGGAAAUUGGUAAUGUUAGAUGGCUUGAAAUGGUGCAGAUUUUUACAGCAAAAGAAUCAAAAUUUGCUUUUAUAUAAAAAGAUAUGUUAAUAUUUUGUCGUUUAUUAUGGUAUCCCUUUUUUGCAUUAUAUAUUUUAUGCUUUUCUUUUGCAAUUUAUUCUCAACAGUAUUUGGUGUAACCCUAGUUAAUUUUUUUUUUUUUUUUCUGUCUUUUUGCCUUUUCUAGGGCCGAUUCCGUGGUAUGUGGAGGUUCCCAGGCUAGGGAUCGAAUUGGAGCUGUAGCCACCAACCUACACCACAGCCACAGCAACGUGGGAUCCUAGCCGCGUCUGCAUCCCACACCAUGGCUCACAGCAACACUGGAUCCUUAACCCACUGAGCAAGGGCAGGGCCGAACCCGCAACCUCAUGGUUCCUAGUCGGAUUCGUUAACCACUGUGCCACAACAGGAACUCCAACCCUAGUUAAAUUUAAAUAAAUUCACAGAUUGCUUGCUCUUCAUGGCAUAUAUUUUGGUGCUAGUGAACUGCAUAUUUUAGGGCACUGUACAGGUAGGGAGUUGCUCCAUCUAUUGGCUGUUUAUAUAACUGGAGACUAUGUCAUUUAUUAAUAUUUCAUUGUGGUUUAGAGGUGAUGGUCUUUCAGAACGUUUUUGCUUUUUUUCUUUAGGACCACACCUACUGCAUAUGGACGUUUGCAGGGUAGGGGUCACAUUCGGAGCUGCAGCUGCUGGCCUAUGCCACAGCCGCAGCAAUGCUGGAUCCAGGCCUCAUCUACAACCUACACCAUAGCUCACAGCAAUACCGGAUCUUUAACCCACUGAGCAAGGCUAGGGAUCCAACCCACAUCCUCAUGGAUACUAGUCGUGUUUGUUAGCACUCGGCUACAGUGGGAACUCUCCAGAAGUUUUUAUGUUGCUUCAUGGGUACACAGUUUUACACGAAGAAUUUAGAAGAGCAUGUUGUUUUUUAAAACUGUUUUAUCAAAUUCUCCAUUUUGGAGUUCCCGCUGUGGCUCAGCAGGAUGGAUGGUUUCUCUGCAGGGGCAGGGAUGCAGAUUUGGUUACGCCCAGCACAGUGAAUGAAGGCUCUAGCGUGACCACAGCUGCAGUAAAGACUGCAGCUCUGACUCAGAUUUGAUGGCUGGCCUGCGAACUCCAUAUGCCGUGGAGCAGCUGAAAAAGAAAAAAAAAA